rnacentral:rRNA from 1 species
UACAGAGGGGGCAAGCGUUGUUUGGAAUUACUGGGCGUAAAGGGCGCGUAGGCGGCCUGUUAAGUCGAACGUGAAAUCCCCGGGCUCAACCCGGGAACUGCGUCCGAUACUGGCAGGCUUGAAUCCGGGAGAGGGAUGCGGAAUUCCAGGUGUAGCGGUGAAAUGCGUAGAUAUCUGGAGGAACACCGGUGGCGAAGGCGGCGAUCCUGGACCGGCAUUGACGCGUGAG